rnacentral:misc_RNA from 1 species
GAUGAAGAACGUAGCGAAAUGCGAUAAGUAAUGUGAAUUGCAGAAUUCAGUGAAUCAUCGAAUCUUUGAACGCACAUUGCGCCCCCUGGUAUUCCGGGGGGCAUGCCUGUUCGAGCGUCAUUAUAACCACUCAAGCUUUCGCUUGGUAUUGGGGCUCGCGGUUCCGCGGCCCCUAAAAUCAGUGGCGGUGCCUGUCGGCUCUACGCGUAGUAAUACUCCUCGCGAUUGAGUCCGGUAGGUCUACUUGCCAGCAACCCCCAAUUUUUACAGGUUGACCUCGGAUCAGGUAGGGAUACCCGCUGAACUUAAGCAUAUCAAUAAGCGGAGGA